GGAGCUGUGGUGUAGUGGUCUAACAUGCCUGCCUGUCACGCAGGAGAUCGCGGGUUCGAGUCCCGUCAGCUCCGCCA
rnacentral:tRNA from 1 species